rnacentral:rRNA from 1 species
UUCUCUUGAGAGCGGCGGACGGGUGAGUAAUGCCUAGGAAUCUGCCUAGUGGUGGGGGAUAACGUUCGGAAACGGACGCUAAUACCGCAUACGUCCUACGGGAGAAAGCGGGGGACCUUCGGGCCUCGCGCCAUUAGAUGAGCCUAGGUCGGAUUAGCUAGUUGGUGAGGUAACGGCUCACCAAGGCGACGAUCCGUAACUGGUCUGAGAGGAUGAUCAGUCACACUGGAACUGAGACACGGUCCAGACUCCUACGGGAGGCAGCAGUGGGGAAUAUUGGACAAUGGGCGAAAGCCUGAUCCAGCCAUGCCGCGUGUGUGAAGAAGGUCUUCGGAUUGUAAAGCACUUUAAGUUGGGAGGAAGGGUAGUAACUUAAUACGUUGCUACUUUGACGUUACCGACAGAAUAAGCACCGGCUAACUUCGUGCCAGCAGCCGCGGUAAUACGAAGGGUGCAAGCGUUAAUCGGAAUUACUGGGCGUAAAGCGCGCGUAGGUGGUUCAGUAAGUUGGAAGUGAAAUCCCCGGGCUCAACCUGGGAACUGCUUUCAAAACUGCUGAGCUAGAGUACGGUAGAGGGUGGUGGAAUUUCCUGUGUAGCGGUGAAAUGCGUAGAUAUAGGAAGGAACACCAGUGGCGAAGGCGACCACCUGGACUGAUACUGACACUGAGGUGCGAAAGCGUGGGGAGCAAACAGGAUUAGAUACCCUGGUAGUCCACGCCGUAAACGAUGUCAACUAGCCGUUGGGAGUCUUGAACUCUUAGUGGCGCAGCUAACGCAUUAAGUUGACCGCCUGGGGAGUACGGCCGCAAGGUUAAAACUCAAAUGAAUUGACGGGGGCCCGCACAAGC